rnacentral:lncRNA from 1 species
GAGCAUUCGUGGUGGGCUUCAGAUUGGCAACAAUGCCGGUAGUGUGCGCUGUUUACGGUUGCUCCAAUCGCUCUAACAGAGACAUUAAAAGCUAUUAUCGAGUUCCUAAAGUAGUCACACAUAAGGGCGAAAAGUGGAAGAAAAUAAGCGAAAGAAGACGCAAGAAAUGGUUGGAAAAUUUAAGGUUGAUGUCGCGGGGAGCGAAGUCAGCAAAUGCCCGCGUCUGUAGUGACCACUUCGUCACUGGUUUUCCAAGUAAGCUUGAAGAGUCCACAUCGGUCGAUUGGGCCCCGACUGUAAACCUCGGGUAUGACAACACGCCCAAGCCCGAAUCACUCUCCUCUCACCUUCGCACGGACAGGAUUAAGGGCCGCAACAAGAUGCAAGACGUAUUGCAAGGUGGUGGAGAAAGCUCACAGGAUGUCCCCGAUGAGCUGUUCAUCAACUCUGAAGAUGCUGGCUGUCAAACUGACCUCACAAUGGAAGACAUUGAAAGGAUGGAAGAUGUGCUAAAAGACAUCACUAAAGAACUAGCAGAGCUGCGGGC